rnacentral:misc_RNA from 1 species
GAUGAAGAACGUAGCGAAAUGCGAUAAGUAAUGUGAAUUGCAGAAUUCAGUGAAUCAUCGAAUCUUUGAACGCACCUUGCGCUCCUUGGUAUUCCGAGGAGCAUGCCUGUUUGAGUGUCGUGAAAUUCUCAACCUUUCUGGCUUGUAAAAGCUAGUCAGGCUUGGAUUUAUGGGAGUUGCUGGCUUUUGAAGUCGGCUCUUCUGAAAUGCAUUAGCAAGAUCAUUGCUGGCUCAUCAUUGGUAUGAUAAUUAUCUAUAUCAUUGAGAGUCGGUUUUCCUUCAUUGGAGGAUUUUGCUCCUAAAGGUCUUUUUACUAAGACAGCAUUUGACAAUUUUGACCUCAAAUCAGGUAGGACUACCCGCUGAACUUAAGCAUAUCAAUAAGCGGAGGA